UAAUACGGAGGGUGCGAGCGUUAUCCGGAUUUAUUGGGUUUAAAGGGUGCGUAGGCUGUGCGUCAAGUCAGGGGUGAAAUUCCGUCGCUCAACGUCGGUUGUGCCCUUGAUACUGGCGUGCUGGAGUACGGAUGCCGCCGGAGGAAUGAGUGGUGUAGCGGUGAAAUGCAUAGAUAUCACUCAGAACACCGAUUGCGAAGGCAUCUGGCGAAUCCGUCACUGACGCUGAUGCACGAAAGCGUGGGGAUAAAACAGGAUUAGAUACCCUGGUAUUCCACGCCGUAAACGAUGAUGACUAGCCGCCGGCGACAYGCUGUCGGUGGCCCAGCGAAAGCGGUAAGUCAUCCACCUGGGGAGUACGGCCGCA
rnacentral:rRNA from 1 species